rnacentral:misc_RNA from 1 species
ACACUAAUAUUGCCCAUAUGCAGCAGUAGAACGAAAUAGAAAACAUAACACUCACUGAUUGAUCAGUGCAAACACACUUCUUCCAGUCUGAUGGGACUUGUUGCCCUAAAUACCAAAUUCAAAACCUAUUCUUUCAUCUCCAUUCAUGCAAAACUGACAAAGGUACCAUAUGUAGCAAGAUUAUGAAGGAAACAAUGCUGCAAUGAUACUAUAAAACAGGGUGAUAAGACAACAACACAAUCACUAAUACAUCAAGGGGAACACAGUUCUACAAGUAUAAAAGGAACUAGUAUUUAGGAUUACCAAAUUAACAACUUAUUUUCUCAUCUCCAUUCAGACAAAAUCACAAAAUAUACGAACCUUUAUGGUGUCUCCACAUGUCAACAUGCACCUCCUAGCAAUAAGCAGUCUCAUAUCAAGAUACAGAGAUUUAUGAUAGUAUCCAGACAGCAGUAUUGAUCAUGAGAUGAUAUGAUGUGUCUGCAAUUCAUGUACUA